GUGGUCACUUCAGCAGCAUGCCUACUAAAAUUGGAAGGAUAGAGAGAAGAUUAACAUGGCCCCUGUGCAAGGAUGAAAUGCAAAUUUGUGAAGUGUUCCAUACUUAA
rnacentral:snRNA from 1 species